rnacentral:lncRNA from 1 species
AUCAGGGCUUGCACAAAUUGUAAGUAUAGUAUUUCACAAACCCUGGGUUGGAACAUUUACAGGAGGGAGGAGGAAAGUCUCCUGCAUUUGUUUCUUCCUGCAGUCAAAUGUAGAAUGGUCACAACCCAGAAAAGACCCUGAUCUGAACAACCAAAGGAUUCAGGAUCUUACCCAGUCUGACCAGAAGGCUUACUCCCAUUUACCUGAAAAUGAAACCAGGACUAUAACUGCAUCACCAUGGAUACAGGAUUUCAGGGGUCACAGAAUCAGAUCAAACCACCAUAUGAUGAAAGCAGAAAAAUCCCUGAUUAAAAAACUCUGUAAACAGUUGGAAAAGCCCAGCAACAGCAAAUUCUGUGGAGUAGAAACCAAAGCAAGAGAUUCUAUCUUCAUUGCCAUCUUUGGCUGGAAGUGCACACCACACCAAAAUCACAACUGUUUCAUGAGAAGCUUCAUGAUAACUCCCAUCAAGCUUUGAUACAGUUUGAAUAAGCACAGUGACUUCAGUACUUCUGCAACCAAGACACUUUACUUUCUGUCUAAUUCAUGCUGAACAGAGAUAUGAGAAAUCUCUUCCACCCAACAUGGGCAGUUAUGUCCAUGAAUUCAGACAUUAACAGGGCUGGCUUGGAGCUGGUGAGUUAGAAGCAGAUGGGCAAUGGCUGGCUCCAUCCCCUCUGCCAUGCAAAGUGAAUGAGCUGGCAAGAGACAGAUGAUGAGCAACAAAUGACUCUUCUGUAACUCCUGGGAACAAGGUUAAUGCAAGAAGGAACCUUCUGUGCAGCCCUACUUACACACUGUUAGUUCCUCUGAGCUGUACACAAUUACAGUCUACUUACAUCAGCAAAAGGGAAAGAGGGAAACAGACAUUAUACAGGAGAUGGGAAAUAGCAAAAACCUUUUGAUGCUCUGAGGACGGCGACAGCAGAGCACAGCACUGUUGCAAGAAGAUGACAAAAACAGACUUCAAAAACUCCAACUCUAAUUCUUACAAAGGUACAAAAACAAAGAAAAGGAGACAAAGCUCUUAUUAAAGAGAUGGUAGCAAACAAUUAUUCUAGGAACCCUGGCACCUUUAAACACACCCACACGAAUGCUUAAUUUCUGUAAAUUUCAGAGCUUGGAAAAAAAGAUGAAGUGAAAGAACAGAAAUGUUUCCCUUCUUAAAAAGACCAGAGAGAGAACAGGGUAACUCUAGCUCUGGCACCCUGACUUCAGUUCCAGGUAAAAUAUUAGCAAAGCCUGAGAGGAGCAGCUGUUUUCAGAUGGAUAGGGCAGACAAAUCUACCGGUUUCAAGCCAAGAGGGAUUUGUGAAUCAGACAAUGCCAAAGAAACCGAUCGGCUUUUUUAAUAUGGUAUCUGAGUAGGUGUUGUUGUUUGUUUUGGUUUGUUUUGUUUUUAAAGGCCUGUGCUAUUUGGAAACAGCUAAAUAAUGCCUGGACAAGAAUUCAAUAAAGUGAGUACCAAGUACCA